AACGAACGCUGGCGGCAGGCCUAACACAUGCAAGUCAAACGCCGUAGCAAUACGGAGUGGCAGACGGGUGAGUAACGCGUGGGAACAUACCCCUCGGUUCGGAAUAACUUAGGGAAACUUGAGCUAAUACCGGAUACGUCCGAGGUUUUAACCGGCCUCGGAGAAAGAUUUAUCGCCGGAGGAUUGGCCCGCGUCUGAUUAGCUUGUUGGUGAGGUGAUGGCUCACCAAGGCGACGAUCAGUAGCUGGUCUGAGAGGAUGAUCAGCCACAUUGGGACUGAGACACGGCCCAAACUCCUACGGGAGGCAGCAGUGGGGAAUAUUGGACAAUGGGCGAAAGCCUGAUCCAGCCAUGCCGCGUGAGUGAUGAAGGCCUUAGGGUUGUAAAGCUCUGUUACCCGGGAAGAUAAUGACGGUACCGGGAGAAUAAGCCCCGGCUAACUUCGUGCCAGCAGCCGCGGUAAU
rnacentral:rRNA from 1 species